UACAGAGGGGGCAAGCGUUGUUCGGAAUUACUGGGCGUAAAGGGCUCGUAGGCGGCCAACUAAGUCAGACGUGAAAUCCCUCGGCUUAACCGGGGAACUGCAUCUGAUACUGGAUGGCUAGAGAUUGGGAGAGGGAUGCGGAAUUCCAGGUGUAGCGGUGAAAUGCGUAGAUAUCUGGAGGAACACCGGUGGCGAAGGCGGCAUCCUGGACCAACACUGACGCUGAGGAGCGAGAGCCAGGGGAGCAAACGGG
rnacentral:rRNA from 1 species